CCCACUUUAAUAAGACCAGGGCAGGUGGGCAGGUGGGCAGGUGUGUGUCCCUCAUCGAGCCAGCUGCACACCAGAGCGAGAGCACGAGAGAGAGCGAGGAGAGGAAAGAAAGAAGGGGAGAGGGGGAUACAUGUAGAACGGGAUGAGUGGCAGGAGUUUAAGAGAGUAAAAGAGGUUCAGAGGAGACUUUCAAGGAUCUGUGGAGAGAGGGAACCAAGAAGGACAAGUACAGAUUAAGAAAAAAAAAGGAACAGAGAGAGGAGUGCAGUGAGGAGAGAAAAAGACAGCUUUUGCAGAGUGAGAGACUCCAAAUCUUUUUUCUCCCCAGGGUAUUUUCCUGAGCCUCACUCAUCAGUCUGGGCAGGAAUCGCUCGUCACUCUUUUCCUAGCUCCCUCCUCUCCCCCCGUUAUUCCCUCCUUUCUUCCCUCUCUCCCAGCCGUGGAGCGUCACGAGAGCCACGCGAUGAGAAUAGAAUGAGAAGGGGGAGAGAGAGAGAGAGAGAGUGAGAGUGAGCAAGAGAGGGAGAGAGGAACGAACCAGGGAAGCGAGAGACUUACACACACCACAAGCAUUGGAAAUUGAAGGAGUUGGUGUGCAGCUCGCAAGGACAGUGCAUGGCGACUCCUGUACCCCUGCCCUUUAGCAUUCAGCCUCCGUGCAGCGGUGUACGUCUCAUUUCCGUUGCUGCAUGUAGCUCUAAACGGCCAAGGAUAUGAGAAGAAAGAGAUAUGUUAUGUGAACCAUGUGUGACUCCCGACGCAGAUGGAAUGAAGGGCAAAAAAUAGGGGAGCUCAAAGGAUGCUGCGCCCCUCCGCCUUUCCAUCACUCCAUUCCUCCAUCUCUCCUUACCUUCAGCUAUACAUCUCUCCAUUCCUUCAUCACUCCAUUCCUCCAUCUCUCCUUACCUUCAGCUAUACAUCUCUCCAUUCCUUCAUCACUCCAUCACUUCCUUACCUUCAGCUAUACAUCUCUCCAUUACUCCAUCACUCCUUACCUUCAGCUAUACAUCUCUCCAUUACUCCAUCACUCCUUACCUUCAGCUAUGCAUCUCUUUCAGGCUGAAGCUGAAAUGCCUGUUACCUAGAUGCUAACUGGCGAUCUAUAAUUAAUAAUAAUUUGAUGGGUGCUUAUACGCAUGUGUGAAAUGGAAAUGUGUUGUUUUUGCAUAUCCCAACUCCCCCUGAGACACCUUUGGAGAACUGUUCUGAUCAUUGAGUCCUACUGCUUAAAUACAGAUAACUGUCAAAAUAAAUUAAAUGAGGGAUACAAAGUAUACCGAAAGGGUGUGUGUGUGUGUGUGAGAUUCUUAUGGGAGAUUCUGGAGCGUGCCUGAGACAGUGUUUUCGACCACCAUCAACAAACACCAAAUGAUGGAAUUUCUCAUGGAAGUUCCAGACACUUGAAUCAAUGCCAAGGCACAUUGAAGAUGUUCUGGCAGCUCGUGGUGGCCCAACGCCCUAUUAAGACACUAUGUUGGUGUUGACUUCAUUUUGGCAGUUACAGUACCUGUAGAUAGACACACAUUUGUCCCGUGGUUCAGUAGGUCGAGGUUGGCCCUUGCAACGCCAGGGUUGUGGGUUCAAUUCCCACGGGGGACCAGCACAAAGAUGUAUGAAAAUGUAUGUACUCACUAGUGUAAGUUGCUCUGGAUAAGAGUGUCUACUAGACUAAAAUGUGAAUGUGAUAUAGAUAAGGUGUUGAUCUCUAUUUGGCUUUACUUACUCUCUUUAGGUCACACAGAAACCCAGUUGCGCUCUCUUUUCUUUAGGGCCCAGUGUUAUGAUAUUGGGACGCAACGUACUUUCGUAGGAGUAGCCUAUACAGUAUCUCUACUUGCACACUCAUCUUCUGCACAUUUAUCACUCCAGUGUUUAAUUGCUAUAUUGUAAUUAUUUAGCCACUAUGGCCUAUUCAUUGCCUUAUACCUCCCUUAUCCUACCUCAUUUGCACACACUGUAUAUAUACUUUUUCUAUUGUAUUAUUGACUAUGUUUGUGAUUCCAUAUGUACCUCUGUGCUGUUGUUUGUGUCACACUGCUUUGUUUUUAUCUUGGCCAGGUUGCAGUUGUAAAUGAGAACAUGUUCUCAACUGGCCUACCUGGUUAAAUAAAGGUGAAAUAAGAAAAAUUCAAACAGCAAAAAAGAGUAGCCUAUACAGUGAUGAGUCUUCACACAUGACGAUGAAAUCCAUGCUGGUUAACGCUCUCUGACUUGUUAUUCAGUCUUCCGUUGGGAUUCAUUCCAACACUUUCCCGAUGUUCAUACAAAUCAUAUUCACAGUAAAUGUUGCUAAUGUCAUUUACAAUCAAGUACAAUCACCACAAUAGCAGUGCACAGGUCAUGUAUCUGCAUUUGAAGAGUUUGGUCAAUUUGUUUUUAUUGUUUAAAGAACUUGUGAAGAGAUUGGUGUGUUUUUUCACUAUCUAAUCAAUGACAGACAUGUAUUUGUUUAAACUCUAUCACUCGAUGGUUUCAUUUCAGAUGAGACAAAUAAUCAUGGUUUUUUUUGCAAAAUGCUAUAUAUCUGCCUCACUAUCGGAGAAAUGAGUAGUACAGCUAGGUUUUAC
ensembl:lncRNA